AAAACGACUCUCGGCAACGGAUAUCUCGGCUCUCGCAUCGAUGAAGAACGUAGCGAAAUGCGAUACUUGGUGUGAAUUGCAGAAUCCCGUGAACCAUCGAGUCUUUGAACGCAAGUUGCGCCCGAAGCCAUUAGGCAGAGGGCACGCCUGCCUGGGCGUCACGC
rnacentral:rRNA from 2 species